rnacentral:snoRNA from 12 species
UCCCGAUGAAGAAACAUGUACACGUCUUACCUCCUGUCCUGGUCCCAGAGCCUGUAAAGGUGAACCCACUGGGGCUGGCUGGGGGAGAGGAGGAGAGCUUGUUCCAGAAGGAACAGUCUGAGGGAU